rnacentral:lncRNA from 1 species
CUUCAAACAGUGGUGCAGAUGAGACAGAAUAUCAACUCUACAUCAAGGUGAGGCUCUAUUUCCCAAGGGCAUUUUCCAUAACGGUACCAGCUGCAUUACACUGCAACACUGGGUGGUGAAGAGGCUUGGGCGAGCACAAGCUGUAGAGGAAGGAAAGGAGGAAAGAGAAGAAGGAAAAGAAGCAGAAGGCCAAACAUUCUGCGUUAAAGAAAGUGAGAAAAGUAAAUCAGACCAGACCAAACCAAAUCAAA